rnacentral:rRNA from 1 species
AUUGAACGCUGGCGGCAUGCUUUACACAUGCAAGUCGAACGGCAGCGCGGGCUUCGGCCUCGCGUCGAGUGGCGAACGGGUGAGUAAUGCAUCGGAACGUGCCCAGUAGUGGGGGAUAGCCCGGCGAAAGCCGGAUUAAUACCGCAUACGACCUGAGGGUGAAAGCGGGGGACCGAAAGGCCUCGCGCUAUUGGAGCGGCCGAUGUCGGAUUAGCUAGUUGGUGGGGUAAAGGCUUACCAAGGCGACGAUCCGUAGCUGGUCUGAGAGGACGACCAGCCACACUGGGACUGAGACACGGCCCAGACUCCUACGGGAGGCAGCAGUGGGGAAUUUUGGACAAUGGGGGCAACCCUGAUCCAGCCAUGCCGCGUGCGGGAAGAAGGCCUUCGGGUUGUAAACCGCUUUUGUUCGGGAAGAAAUCCUCUGGGCUAAUACCCCGGGGGGAUGACGGUACCGGAAGAAUAAGCACCGGCUAACUACGUG